UAGCACCAUGAGAAAGCAGUAU
rnacentral:miRNA from 2 species